rnacentral:rRNA from 1 species
GUGUCAGCAGCCGCGGUAAUACGGAAGGGGCAAGCGUUGUUCGGAAUCAUUGGGCGUAAAGGGCGCGUAGGCGGUCCCGUAUGUCUGCUGUGAAAGUACACGGCUCAACCGUGUGAGGUCGGUAGAAACUGCGAGACUUGAGGCUGGGAGAGGUUGGUGGAAUUCCCUGUGUAGCGGUGAAAUGCGUAGAUAUAGGGGAGAACACUCGUGGCGAAGGCAGCCAGCUGGACCAGCCCUGACGCUGAGGCGCGACAGCGUGGGGAGCAAACAGGAUUAGAAACCCCAGUAGUCC